rnacentral:lncRNA from 1 species
GGUUAAGCUCUAAUCUGGUUCUAAUGAACUUUAUUUCAGCGGGAAGCCUGGAGUUAAGAAGUGCCAAUCAACCUGGAGCAUUUUAAGUCUUGAGUUGAUCUGUUAAUGCAGUUCUGAAGAGGGGUUGAUCAAAGGCAACAGGACACAGGGAUUCAGCUUCCAGAAUAAGAAAUCCCUGAAAUUUUCUGUACUGGUAGACAUGAAAGGCAAACAUCCAUUGAGACCUGGUUCUCUAUGAAGUGGGGUCCUCAUGAACUUAACCAAACAGAACAGCAUUUUGAAGAUCGUGAAACUGCCCUGGCAUAUACUUUCUUCCUGUUUGUGACUUGUGGCACUCUGAGGACCCACCCUGCUGCUUAAUUAUGCCAGCCCUAACUACUUCAGAUCCCUAACUUUAUAGAAUCAAAAGACAUUAUAGAGACCUUUCGAUCCAGUCCCAUAAAAUAUAAUUCUCAGUACC